GACAGAGGUGCCAAGCGUUAGGCGGAAUCACUGGGCUUAAAGCGUGUGUAGGCGGAUCGUUAAGUGCCUUGUGAAAUCCCACGGCUUAACCGUGGAACUGCUCGGCAUACCUGGGCGGUCUUAGCCCAUCUAGGGGCUACCGGAACAAAUGGUGGAGCGGUGAAAUGCGUAGAUAUCAUUUGGAACGCCAAUGGUGAAAAACAGGUAGCUGGGGGAUGCGCUGACGCUGAGACACGAAAGCCAGGGGAGCGAACGGG
rnacentral:rRNA from 1 species